rnacentral:rRNA from 1 species
AAACUUUGCAAUGUGCGAAAGCACGACAAGGUUAAUCCGAGUGUUUCCUGCUAAAGGAAUCUUUUGUUAGUCGUAAAACCACUAUCGAAUAAGGGGUGGGCAAGUUCUGGUGUCAGCCGCCGCGGUAAAACCAGCACCUCAAGUGGUCAGGAGGAUUAUUGGGCCUAAAGCAUCCGUAGCCUGCUUUGUUAGUUUUCGGUUAAAUCCAUAUGCUCAACAUAUGGGCUGCCGGGAAUACUGCAUAGCUAGGGAGUGGGAGAGGUAGACGGUACUCCGUAGGAAGGGGUAAAAUCCUUUGAUCUAUGGAUGACCACCUGUGGCGAAGGCGGUCUACCAGAACACGUCCGACGGUGAGGGAUGAAAGCUGGGGGAGCAAACCGGAUUAGAUACCCGGGUAGUCCCAGCUGUAAACUAUGCAAACUCAGUGAUGCAUUGGCUUGUGGCCAGUGCAGUGCCGCAGAGAAGUCGUUAAGUUUGCCGCCUGGGAAGUACGUACGCAAGUAUGAAACUUAAAGGAAUUGGCGGGGGAGCAC